rnacentral:rRNA from 1 species
AUGAACGCUAGCGGCAGGCUUAACACAUGCAAGUCGAGGGGCAGCAUAAUGGAUAGCAAUAUCUAUGGUGGCGACCGGCGCACGGGUGCGUAACGCGUAUGCAACCUACCUUUAACAGGGGGAUAACACUGAGAAAUUGGUACUAAUACCCCAUAAUAUCAUAGAAGGCAUCUUUUAUGGUUGAAAAUUCCGAUGGUUAGAGAUGGGCAUGCGUUGUAUUAGCUAGUUGGUGGGGUAACGGCUCACCAAGGCGACGAUACAUAGGGGGACUGAGAGGUUAACCCCCCACACUGGUACUGAGACACGGACCAGACUCCUACGGGAGGCAGCAGUGAGGAAUAUUGGUCAAUGGACGCAAGUCUGAACCAGCCAUGCCGCGUGCAGGAUGACGGCUCUAUGAGUUGUAAACUGCUUUUGUACGAGGGUAAACGCAGAUACGUGUAUCUGUCUGAAAGUAUCGUACGAAUAAGGAUCGGCUAACUCCGUGCCAGCAGCCGCGGUAAUACGGAGGAUUCAAGCGUUAUCCGGAUUUAUUGGGUUUAAAGGGUGCGUAGGCGGUUUGAUAAGUUAGAGGUGAAAUUUCGGGGCUCAACCCUGAACGUGCCUCUAAUACUGUUGAGCUAGAGAGUAGUUGCGGUAGGCGGAAUGUAUGGUGUAGCGGUGAAAUGCUUAGAGAUCAUACAGAACACCGAUUGCGAAGGCAGCUUACCAAACUAUAUCUGACGUUGAGGCACGAAAGCGUGGGGAGCAAACAGGAUUAGAUACCCUGGUAGUCCACGCAGUAAACGAUGAUAACUCGUUGUCGGCGAUACACAGUCGGUGACUAAGCGAAAGCGAUAAGUUAUCCACCUGGGGAGUACGUUCGCAAGAAUGAAACUCAAAGGAAUUGACGGGGGCCCGCACAAGCGGUGGAGUAUGUGGUUUAAUUCGAAGCAACGCGAAGAACCUUACCAGGUCUUGACAUCGAUCUAAAAGGGAUGGAGACAUCCUCAUAGCUAUAGAGAAGACAGGUGGUGCAUGGUUGUCGUCAGCUCGUGUCGUGAGAUGUUGGGUUAAGUCCCGCAACGAGCGCAACCCUUGUGAUAUGUUACUAACAUUGAGUUGAGGACUCAUAUCAGACUGCCGGUGAUAAACCGGAGGAAGGUGGGGAUGACGUCAAAUCAGCACGGCCCUUACGUCCGGGGCUACACACGUGUUACAAUGGUAGGUACAGAGGGCAGCUACCCAGCGAUGGGAUGCGAAUCUCGAAAGCCUAUCUCAGUUCGGAUUGGAGGCUGAAACCCGCCUCCAUGAAGUUGGAUUCGCUAGUAAUCGCGCAUCAGCCAUGGCGCGGUGAAUACGUUCCCGGGCCUUGUACACACCGCCCGUCAAGCCAUGGGAGCCGGGGGUGCCUGAAGUUCGUGACCGCAAGGAGCGACCUAGGGCAAAACUGGUGACUGGGGCU